rnacentral:lncRNA from 1 species
GGAGCAGUGAGGGCACCAGCUAUAAUGUUCUGUGAUUCUCUACCACACUUAGGACCUGCAGAGACACACAGCCUCUCCACUUCAGCUCCACUGGCUCCCAUGGUCUGUUACAUUUCCCAGAAUGGUUCCCAGUGCUGGAGAUAAUUCCUUUUCGGAGAACCUACAUUUCUCACCUGCUGAUUGCAAUUAGCCACUACCAGCUGGGGCCUGGUGUGCAGCUGAAAAGCUAACAAGAAGUGGAGACCACGCGGAACUCAGACAGGGCAUAGGAUGUGCAUAAAUAAGCAACGGUGCCUGUGUUUAUGAGAUGCUCCUGUGAAUUCGAGGCUUCCCCACCCUCUGCAUAACUCUCCCUCUUCUGGCUUUGUGCUGCACACCCCUCCCCUAACUAUAUUUUUUGUCUCUGGUUUUGUAGCCUACGUUUAACAUCACAGUCACGAAUUUACCACUAAGUACAUUUUGUUAGGCAAUAAACAGCCUUGGAAGAAAAAUGAAAUCCGACUAGGACUUCUGUUCUAAUAAUGUCUGUGAGCUGUGGUGGAUUCAGGCAGGCCCCACAUGCAGGUCUUAGAGCUAACCUUGACCAUGAGGGCUAGUGGGGCUGGGAGAGGGCUCAGGGACCCCAAUUCAACUCCCUUAUUUUAUGGGGGAGGAUACUGAAUCCCAGAACGGGAGCAUGGCCUGUCCAAAGUCUUAAAGGAAGUCACAGGACUGGAU